CAUACAGGUGCCCGCCUGCGGGCGGGUGAAAAGGGAAUACGGUGAGAAUCCGUAACGAUGCCGUCACUGUGUAUGGGAGCAGCUUUCGCAGCUCACUGGGAGACCGGGAAGAGGAAAGCCGCGCGGAACAAAGUCAGGAGACCUGCCUGUAUG
rnacentral:ncRNA from 1 species